ensembl:lncRNA
GGGAGUGAUAGGAAUGGACCAGUCAUUCAGCAUGGGAGUGAUAGGAAUGGACCAGUCAUUCAGCAUGGGAGUGACAGGAAUGGGCCAGUCAUUCAGCAUGGGAGUGACAGGAAUGGACCAGUCAUUCAGCAUGGGAGUGAUAGGAAUGGACCAGUCAUUCAGCAUGGGAGUGAUAGGAACGCAGCUGUCACUCCAAUGCUUCAGCUGCUGGUGGCCGUGCGAUUUUAUGGAACUGGAUGCUUCCGAAUGGUGGAAGGAGACCUUUUUGGACUCCAGAAGUCAAAGCUCAAGUGUAUUCAUAAGGAUAACCAUUCCUGAGGGUAUCUUCUGUCCUCCAUGUCUUGCUGGAAUCUCGAUUCCCAUCCCGGAUUGAAGAAAUCAUUACAGCUCACAUUAUUUUCAAAUUCAUUUCAACACACUGGACCUGCAACUGCAAGGAUUCAAUCAUUAGAUCGCCCACAUCCAUCAUUCUUCUUCCUGGGUGUCCACUUCUCCGAGGACCUCUCCUGGAACCUCAAC